AGUGAGUCGCACAAGAAACACUUUUCGACCCAGUUUCCACGGAAAAGACAACACUGGGACCUGCAAACACUUUUUGACAUCUGAAUUUAAGUUUAGGUUUUUGUUUUUUUUUUCUAUACACCCUUUAAGGUGUGCAAUUUUUACAUAAUCCUCGUGGAGAAUCCUAGGAGCUAAGACUUCGCACCCCCCUGGUGAGGUCAGACAAGUCCUAGGUCCUUGGGGAGGGGUGCUGGAGAGUGUUAAAGUUAGGGAUUCCAUCAUUCUGCUGGGGACUUCAUGCUCAUGUGGGCAAUGGCACUAAGACCUUGUCAGAGAAGUUUUUACAAAACAACUAAUACAAGCCUGGAGGACUAUUGAAAUGAACUCACACCAACAAAUUGUCUUCUGAUCAGGAGGACGGAAGAGACUGGCCCGUUACAGUCUCCAAUCACCUCCUGAACCAGCCUCUCACGUUGAUGAAGUUGUCCUUGGCCACAUCUCAGAAGAUAAGGAAGUUGGCAAGUUGGAUGUUUUGGAGAUAAGAUUCGAGAGAACAGACUUCGAUGGUUUGGACAUGUCCAGAGGUGAGAGAGUGAGUAUAUUGGUGGAAAGGUGCUGAGGAUGGAGCUGCCAGCCAAAAGAGCGAGAGGAAGACCAAAGAGAAGGUUUAUGGAUGUGGUGAGGGAAGACAUGAGGGCAGUUGGGGUUAGAGAGGAAGAUGCAGAAGAUAGGCUAAGAUGGAAAAAGAUGACAUGCUGUGACGACCCCUAACGGGACAAGCCGAAAGGAAAAGAAGAUAUAUAUAUAGAUAGAUAUAUAUAGAUAUAAAGGCAACUCAUUAUACUACGAAUAUUACUAGAUCUAUAUCUAAGAUAGUGAGCAAUGUGGUCAAGUGUAUCAGUACAUCACGACGUAACAAGUAUGAGGCUUAAAUGUUAAUAGUAAUUACUACAGAUCAACUUCUUUAACAUGUUUUGCUGUAUGAUGUGGAAAUUUUAGGAUAUAUUUUUGUGUAUAUUAUAUAUCGACACUAUAAUAUGUAUAAUGUGGGGAAAAGGACCAUUUUAGAUGUCUUUUUACUGAAUAGUUCACUUAAUUCAUUUGUCUUGAGAUAAGAUGGCAUAUUUUAAGCAUAUUUUCAUGACAAAUGUGAUUUUAUGCUAUCCAGUGAUAGGGGGAUGGGGGGGGGGAAUCUGGGCUUGGCCCUAGGUGAACUUCUGCCCAAUUUUUUUUUUUUUUGGUCAGGACUUGGAAAUUUUACUUUCAAUUUUUGACAGAAUUUUGUUCACAGAUAUCGCCGGGCCCCCCAAGCAGGACUUCAUACCUUCAGUGCACACAUUUGUAUUUUCAGGAAUUUUCACAAAAGUCCACUUUCAUCUCUAUUAGCAGUACAGUAAAUAAAUCUCCCCAACUUGGCCAUGGGGACAUAUUUAACUUCAAUUGCAAACUGGACUCUUGUUGCAUCAGUAUUUUGACACUUAUUUU